rnacentral:rRNA from 1 species
CAAACUGGGAUUAGAUACCCCACUAUGCUUAGCCCUAAACUUAGAUAGUUAAUUUUAACAAAACUAUCCGCCAGAGAACUACUAGCAACAGCUUAAAACUCAAAGGACUUGGCGGUGCUUUACAUCCCUCUAGAGGAGCCUGUUCUAUAAUCGAUAAACCCCGAUAUACCUCACCAUCUCUUGCUAAUUCAGCCUAUAUACCGCCAUCUUCAGCAAACCCUAAAAAGGAAAAAAAGUAAGCACAAGUAUCUUAACACAAAAAAGUUAGGUCAAGGUGUAGCCCAUGAGAUGGGAAGCAAUGGGCUACAUUUUCUAAAACUAGAACACCCACGAAAAUCCUUAUGAAACUAAGUAUUAAAGGAGGAUUUAGUAGUUAAUUGAGAAUAGAGAGCUCAAUUGAAUCGGGCCAUGAAGCACGCACACACCGCCCGUCACCCU